AUGCCAACCCGAACCAAGCACAUGGACGAGAUCUCAGAAGAGCUCGAAGCCUUGCAGACUGAGUUGACCGUGCUGGGCUUGAAGGAAGAUAAGAUGCAAGAUCAAAUCGAUCAGGUGAACACGCGCCUUCAGAUAGUUGAAUCCUUGGAAAAGCAAUUGGGAAAGGUUGAGCUCUUGGUCGAGAAUAAUUCCAAGGUACAGCAAGACAUCUUCGCCAUACUACGUGAAAUGCGAGCAGAGAAACCUCCCUCCCCUGUUCCCCAAGCGUCUGCUUCUUUGGUUGUUCAACCCAGCAUACAACCACAGACCCAACCGGAUCCAGGGGCCACAACAGCAAAUUCCACAGGAGAAACUCUUACCACGCCACAGGGACAGCAAACGCAACUGCUAAACAGUUUGACAGGCAGAAAUGUCAGUCAGCAAACUCCACCAGUAGUGAUUACUGCGAUGCAACACCAAACUGACAGAGCAAUGCAGUUUCUGAAGAGCAUUUCCAAAGGUCCUAAGAUAGAUUUCCCUACUUUCAGCGGGGAUAAUCCCUUGGGAUGGAUCAGACAAGUCAACAAAUAUUUUCAGCUGGCUCAAAUUCCUGAUGAGUGCAAAGUGGAUUUAGCAUUGACGUACAUUGUUGGGAGGGCUGAUAAUUGGGUCAGGAGUGCUAGAAUGGAAAAUAAUAGAUUACCAUGGCCAGAUUUUUGCCGAGCAUUAUGUGACAGGUUUGCAGAAUCUAGCAUUUAUGAAAUACUGGAAAAAUUCCAUAGCCUCAAACAGAACACUAUGUCAGUAGCUGCUUAUACUGAUAAGUUUGAGGAAGUAAUGGCAGUGGUUAGGGAUGAACAUCCAUACCUGCAAGAAAACUAUUAUAUAGUGAGCUUUGUCAAUGGACUUAAACCCAGCAUCCGAUGUAAUUUGAGACCACAAAGACCUACUACUCUAAGCCAGGCAUAUUGGCUUGCCAGAGACUAUGAAAGUGGACUGCAGGCAAAAUAUCUGUCUUACAUCAACCACCAAGAAAAACAGUCUCAAACUCACUCUGGACAGUCCAAAACUACUAUCCUGCCAGCUCCUAACUUACAAAUCCCUCCUCCAGCAGCAGCUAUAAGGAAACCAGGGGUUUGUUGGAGAUGCAAUGGACCUUGGGUUCCUGGUCAUAAGUGCAAACAAUCUCCUGCACUACAUGCCAUUGUUAGUGAGAAUGAACCUAAAGAUAUGUCACCUGAAGAAGAAGCACAAUUAGCAGUACUAACUGCAGAAUGGCAAUUUACAGAGCUAAUAGAUAAAUGUAUGCACAUCUCUGCACAAGCUGUAUCAGGGGACUCCUCUGAAUCCACUAUAGCAGUGAGCAUUUUUCUGGGAGGAAAAAAAGGAGUAGCCCUAAUAGAUACUGGGAGCACUAAUACAUUCAUUGAUCUCAAAUUUUCCCUGAAGGCUAAUUGCCAAUUGGUCAAUACCCCAACUCAAAAAGUGACAGUGGCUGGUGGUGGUUCUUUAAAUUCAGGAGCUGUUGCACCGAACACUAAUUUCAAAAUAUACAAUGAGGACUUCUCCAAUGAUCUAACAGUGUUAGAUUUCCAAGGCUAUGAUAUUGUUUUAGGGUGUGAUUUUCUGAAAAAGCACAGCCCUCUAUCAAUGGACUUUGAUGCAAGAACUGCCACUAUCAACAAGGACAAGACACAGUCUGUAACAUUUGCAGAUUGUACAGUGGCACAACCACCUAAGCUCAUUUCUGCAGAAAAAGCAGAGAAGUUAUGUUCACAGGGAGCAGUGGGUUUUGCAAUGAGUCUCCAAUUUAUGACCCAAGUCAGUAACUAUAGUUGCAUAUCUACCCAGCCUGAGCCAAAGAUUACAGAGGAACCCUUGCCAGUUUUGGAACAAUAUAAGGAAUUGUUCACAGAACCAACUAAUCUGCCACCCACCAGAGAAUGUGACCACACCAUUCCUCUUAAAGAAGAUACCACACCCCCCAAUGUGAGACCAUACAGAGUCCCUCAUUUACAGAAAAAUGAGAUGGAACAGCAAAUUCAACUGUUGCUUUCCAGGCACAUAAUUCAGCACAGCAUGAGCCCAUAUGCUUCUCCUGCUAUCCUUGUCAGAAAAAAAGGAGGAACUUGGAUACUUUGCAUAGACUACAGGAAAUUGAAUGCACAAACAGUUAAAAACAAGUUUCCUAUACCUGUCAUAGAGGACCUCCUAGAUGAGUUACAUGGAGCAGCUAUCUUCAGCAAAUUGGACUUGAGAUCUGGUUAUCAUCAAAUUAGAAUGAAAACUGAAGAUGUUCACAAAACUGCAUUUAGAACUUAUUCUGGACAUUUUGAGUUCUUGGUUAUGCCCUUUGGCCUCACCAAUGCACCUGCUACCUUCCAGGCCUUGAUGAACAAAAUCUUUGCACCCUAUUUG
rnacentral:rRNA from 1 species